rnacentral:rRNA from 1 species
AACGAACGCUGGCGGCGUGCCUAACACAUGCAAGUCGAACGGGGAUAAGUAGCUUGCUAUUUAUUCUAGUGGCGCACGGGUGAGUAACGCGUAGAUAAUCUGCCUUAGACUCUGGGAUAACUUCUCGAAAGGGGUGCUAAUACCGGAUAAGCCCACGGGGACGUGAGUUCUUGCGGGAAAAGGGGGCCUCUGCAUAUGCUCUUGAUCUAAGAUGAGUCUGCGUACCAUUAGCUUGUUGGUAGGGUAAUGGACUACCAAGGCGACGAUGGUUAGCUGGUCUGAGAGGAUGAUCAGCCACACUGGGACUGAGACACGGCCCAGACUCCUACGGGAGGCAGCAGUGGGGAAUUGUGCGCAAUGGGGGAAACCCUGACGCAGCAACGCCGCGUGAGUGAGGAAGGCUUUCGGGUCGUAAAGCUCUGUCUAGAGGGAAGAAGUGAUUAGUGGUUAAUACCCAUUAUUCUUGACGGUACCUCUGAAGGAAGCACCGGCUAACUCCGUGCCAGCAGCCGCGGUAACAC